AGAGUUUGAUCAUGGCUCAGAUUGAACGCUGGCGGCAGGCUUAACACAUGCAAGUCGAGCGGAUGAAAGGAGCUUGCUCCUGGAUUCAGCGGCGGACGGGUGAGUAAUGCCUAGGAAUCUGCCUGGUAGUGGGGGACAACGUUUCGAAAGGAACGCUAAUACCGCAUACGUCCUACGGGAGAAAGCAGGGGACCUUCGGGCCUUGCGCUAUCAGAUGAGCCUAGGUCGGAUUAGCUAGUUGGUGAGGUAAUGGCUCACCAAGGCGACGAUCCGUAACUGGUCUGAGAGGAUGAUCAGUCACACUGGAACUGAGACACGGUCCAGACUCCUACGGGAGGCAGUAGUGGGGAAUAUUGGACAAUGGGCGAAAGCCUGAUCCAGCCAUGCCGCGUGUGUGAAGAAGGUCUUCGGAUUGUAAAGCACUUUAAGUUGGGAGGAAGGGCAGUUACCUAAUACGUAAUUGUUUUGACGUUACCGACAGAAUAAGCACCGGCUAACUCUGUGCCGGCAGCCGCGGUAAUACAGAGGGUGCAAGCGUUAAUCGGAAUUACUGGGCGUAAAGCGCGCGUAGGUGGUUCGUUAAGUUGGAUGUGAAAUCCCCGGGCUCAACCUGGGAACUGCAUUCAAAACUGUCGAGCUAGAGUAUGGUAGAGGGUGGUGGAAUUUCCUGUGUAGCGGUGAAAUGCGUAAAUAUGGGAAGGAACACCAGUGGGCGAAGGCGACCACCUGGACUGAUACUGACACUGAGGUGCGAAAGCGUGGGGAGCAAACAGGAUUAGAUACCCUGUUAGUCCACGCCGUAAACGAUGUCAACUAGCCGUUGGGAGCCUGAGCUCUUAGUGGCGCAGCCUAACGCAUUA
rnacentral:rRNA from 1 species